GGUUAAGUGAAUAAGGGCGCACGGUGGAUGCCUUGGCACUAGGAGCCGAUGAAGGACGGGACUAACACCGAUAUGCUUUGGGGAGCUGUAAGUAAGCUAUGAUCCAGAGAUUUCCGAAUGGGGGAACCCAAUAUCUUUUAUAGGAUAUUACUUUUCAGUGAAUACAUAGCUGAUUAGAGGUAGACGCAGAGAACUGAAACAUCUUAGUACCUGCAGGAAGAGAAAGAAAAUUCGAUUCCCUGAGUAGCGGCGAGCGAAACGGGAAGAGCCCAAACCAACAAGCUUGCUUGUUGGGGUUGUAGGACUCCAAUAUGGUAGUCUGUUAGUAUAGUUGAAGGAUUUGGAAAAUUCCGCUAAAGAGGGUGAAAGCCCCGUAGACGAAAUGCUGACAACACCUAGGAGGAUCCUGAGUACGGCGGAACACGAGAAAUUCCGUCGGAAUCCGCGGGGACCAUCCCGCAAGGCUAAAUACUCCCUAGUGACCGAUAGUGAACCAGUACCGUGAGGGAAAGGUGAAAAGCACCCCGGAAGGGGAGUGAAAUAGAUCCUGAAACCGUGUGCCUACAACAAGUCAAAGCUCGUUAAUGAGUGAUGGCGUGCCUUUUGUAGAAUGAACCGGCGAGUUACGAUUGCAUGCGAGGUUAAGUCGAAGAGACGGAGCCGCAGCGAAAGCGAGUCUGAAUAGGGCGAAUGAGUAUGUAGUCGUAGACCCGAAACCAUGUGAUCUACCCAUGUCCAGGUUGAAGGUGCGGUAAAACGCACUGGAGGACCGAACCCACGUACGUUGAAAAGUGCGGGGAUGAGGUGUGGGUAGCGGAGAAAUUCCAAACGAACUUGGAGAUAGCUGGUUCUCUCCGAAAUAGCUUUAGGGCUAGCCUCGGAAUUGAGAAUGAUGGAGGUAGAGCACUGUUUGGACUAGGGGCCCAUCUCGGGUUACCGAAUUCAGAUAAACUCCGAAUGCCAUUCAUUUAUAUCCGGGAGUCAGACUGCGAGUGAUAAGAUCCGUAGUCGAAAGGGAAACAGCCCAGACCACCAGCUAAGGUCCCAAAAUAUAUGUUAAGUGGAAAAGGAUGUGGGGUUGCACAGACAACUAGGAUGUUGGCUUAGAAGCAGCCACCAUUUAAAGAGUGCGUAAUAGCUCACUAGUCGAGUGACCCUGCGCCGAAAAUGUACCGGGGCUAAACAUAUUACCGAAGCUGUGGACUACACCAUUAGGU
rnacentral:rRNA from 1 species